rnacentral:rRNA from 1 species
UCGGGAAUUUUGGGCAAUGGGGGAAACCCUGACCCAGCAACGCCGCGUGAAGGAUGAAGUAUUUCGGUAUGUAAACUUCGAAAGAAUAGGAAGAAUAAAUGACGGUACUAUUUAUAAGGUCCGGCUAACUACGUGCCAGCAGCCGCGGUAAUACGUAGGGACCAAGCGUUGUUCGGAUUUACUGGGCGUAAAGGGCGCGUAGGCGGCGUAAUAAGUCACUUGUGAAAUCUCCGGGCUUAACUCGGAGCGGCCAAGUGAUACUGUUAGGCUAGAGUGCAGAAAGGGCAAUCGGAAUUCUUGGUGUAGCGGUGAAAUGCGUAGAUAUCAAGAGGAACACCUGAGGCGAAGGCGGGUUGCUAGGCUGACACUGACGCUGAGGCGCGAAAGCUAGGGUAGCAAACGGGAUUAGAUACCCCAGUAGUCCCUGAGCGGGCUGGCAAGGCGCAU